UACUCAGUACAACCAUUAACUGUUGUACGAUUAAUGUGAUUACACUUGUGUGAUCAAAGAAAGGGUAG
rnacentral:sRNA from 19 species